rnacentral:lncRNA from 1 species
AUGUUCUAUCCUUAUAAAACCUUGCUGUGAGGCAUGGUCCCUGACAUCAGAAAAAUGAAUGAAGUAUUGGCAACUGGACGUUAAGCAACCAAAUAUAAAUCCUCACUUUUCCGUGAAGUGUUCACAAUUAUUUGUCUUUUUAAAAUUAAAAGGAUUAAAAAUUCCCAAACUGAAAAGAGUUGAAAAUACUUUAUUACUUUAGAAGUAAAAAUUAUAACAGACAGAAUAAAUACGGCA